rfam:Daphnia pulex DAPPTscaffold_322_Cont8684, whole genome shotgun sequence.
GUCAGGAUUUCCGAGCGGUCUAAGGGGCCAGACUCAAGGACAUAUUCCUUGCUUCAAUAAGAGAAGUUGCAGUAUUCUGGUCUUCAAUGAAGUCGUGGGUUCAAAUCCCACUCCUGACA